UGCAAGGCGCUGGUAUUGGGCUAGCUGUUCCCGGCGUAUAAGGAGAGCGUGGGCGAGUAAAUGAUAUCGAGAAGGAACGUUUGAAAUGGCAACGCGCGGUUUAACCUUCAGAAGUGAAUGGAGGAGGGACCGUUGCUAUUUAUGUUUAGGCGCAGGCCGGUGGAAAUGCUUGGGAACAGACUGUGAACGAGGGACGGUGGGGGUGCUAUUGCCAUAGGCCUUCCAACACCCGCCCAGAAGAGGCCUGAUAGUCCGACAGCCACGUGAACCAGGCACGUCAAUUAGCAUAGCCACUUGUGGAAGAGAAAUUUCUUUGAAGAAGAAUCACGAGCGCCAUGUCAGGCCAGCCAACUCAGGUGGUGGUGGCUACGGAGACCCUCCCUCCCGGCACAUGCACCGUCUGCAGGAGAGGCAAGAUCAAGAACAAGGCCUCGUGCUGCACCUGGAUCACGUGCCUGGUGCUGCUCCCCUUCGGCAUCAUUCCUGGCAUCAUCGCCUUCUGCUGCUGCUGCCGGGAACCCAAGUGCACCCACUGCGGCUACACGCCCUAGUCCGCCCUAGUCGCCUCUCCCCUCCCCUCCCCUCGCAGUCGCAGUCGCAGUUUCGAAAGGCUUUCCACGUCGACGUUUCCCCCUCAAGGCUAGAAUGAAGUCGAAGUCUGGGCCAGGCCGGAAGUGAAAGUCAUGGCGGUUGAGAUAAAACUUCGACGCUCCUUUACUUUUUUUUAUUUUAGGUGAUGCACUCUUUGUUAUUUUUUUUUUUUUUUUAAGAAAUACUUUAACAUAAAUAACAAUAAUUCGUUGUUUCAUCCUCUCGCCAAUAUUGGGAGGAUGGCAUUGGCAGACAAAUUCAAGGUUGAUAAAGUAGAAUUGUACUUUUAUACAGCUAGAUUCUUUUAUUAUUUUACGAAAGCAAAUGUCUCUUUUUCUUUGUGGUGUUGAUUUCGUGGGCGAUUCGUUGAGGUUUUUUAUUUGUGGGAAAACGUAAGCCAUUUUGGUGCUGAAAUAUGUCAAGGUUGAAUUUGAGAAUACAAAGGUUAUUGAAAGUUUGUGAAUGCUCUGUGUUGUGUAUAGUCAAUUCUUCUACAAAUCAUAUCGAAAUAAUGCUUUAUUUCUGUUGUAUAUGAUCUUAGGAUUCUCUUAUCGGUUUGAACUAUUAAUCCCUUUUCGGAAUUAUUGCACGACCUGUAGUAUGAGUGUGUAUGUCCUUUAUUUUGAAUACUUUUAUACGUGUAUAGUUUACGGACAAGUACUAGUGUAUUUGCAACACCAGGCGUAAUUUUUGGCUUGAUAUAAACUGUAAUCUGAAUUAGAUCUCUUGUACUCUUCAGCAUUUUACACGCCAUGUUACUUUCCAAAAUAUUUGUAAGAGCAUCGUUUAUAUUACAAGAAAUUUCAUUUUAUUAAAAGAUCUUACAGUUA